UGUUGAGUUACGAAGGUGGAGGCCUUACUUUUCAUUCAACCCUCAUAGGUUCUGUAGGUUUGUUUUCAAGUUGUAUUUGUAUAUAAGUUGGAACAGGUACAUUUUAAAGUAUAACUCCUGAUAUUUAUCUAUCUAUCAUCUAUCUUUUAGUUUUGGAUAGCAGAGGAAAGGGUGUCCCUGUUAAGAAGAUUUCACCACACUUUCCAUCCCUGUGAUAACUGAAUUCUGAAAAAUGUGGCGUGGCGUGGAAACAAAGAAUGGUGAUAAAGCUUCAGAGUGAAUUUCCCUUCCUAGCUCCCAAGAAAGUGGAAUGGAAACAUUGCUCAGGAAAUGAAGCCUGAUAUCCAGGAUAUCCUUUCCCAGAAUGAAAAGAAAGCAUGUCCGUUUUUAGAUUUUAAGAGUUACUAAUGAUUGCAAUUAAAAAUAAACAACUGAAAAUGCAUAGAUAGAAAGUAAGAACUGAUUCUAGAACAAGCUGGUUACCCAUAUGAAUAAAUACUCUGACCUUCUGAAUAUUUCUUAAUAAUGAUGAACAUAUGACAACAACUAAGCACGAUAAAAC
rnacentral:lncRNA from 11 species